rnacentral:rRNA from 1 species
GAUGAACGCUGACAGAAUGCUUAACACAUGCAAGUCAACUUGAACUUCGGUUUGGGUGGCGGACGGGUGAGUAACGCGUAAAGAACUUGCCUCACAGAUAGGGACAACAUUUGGAAACGAAUGCUAAUACCUGAUAUUAUGAUUUUAGGGCAUCCUAGGAUUAUGAAAGCUAUAUGCGCUGUGAGAGAGCUUUGCGUCCCAUUAGCUAGUUGGAGAGGUAACGGCUCACCAAGGCGAUGAUGGGUAGCCGGCCUGAGAGGGUGAUCGGCCACAAGGGGACUGAGACACGGCCCUUACUCCUACGGGAGGCAGCAGUGGGGAAUAUUGGACAAUGGACCAAGAGUCUGAUCCAGCAAUUCUGUGUGCACGAUGAAGUUUUUCGGAAUGUAAAGUGCUUUCAGUUGGGAAGAAAACAAUGACGGUACCAACAGAAGAAGUGACGGCUAAAUACGUGCCAGCAGCCGCGGUAAUACGUAUGUCACAAGCGUUAUCCGGAUUUAUUGGGCGUAAAGCGCGUCUAGGUGGUUAUGUAAGUCUGAUGUGAAAAUGCAGGGCUCAACUCUGUAUUGCGUUGGAAACUGUGUAACUAGAGUACUGGAGAGGUAAGCGGAACUACAAGUGUAGAGGUGAAAUUCGUAGAUAUUUGUAGGAAUGCCGAUGGGGAAGCCAGCUUACUGGACAGAUACUGACGCUGAAGCGCGAAAGCGUGGGUAGCAAACAGG